UACAGAGACUGCAAGCGUUAUUCGGAUUCACUGGGCGUAAAGGGUGCGCAGGCGGCCGUGUGUGUCAGGUGUGAAAUCCCGAGGCUUAACCUCGGAACUGCGCCUGAAACUACACGGCUAGAGUACUGGAGAGGGUAGCGGAAUUCAUGGUGUAGCAGUGAAAUGCGUAGAUAUCAUGAGGAACACCAGAGGCGAAGGCGGCUACCUGGACAGUUACUGACGCUCAGGCACGAAAGCGUGGGGAGCAAAAGGG
rnacentral:rRNA from 1 species